GGCCCUUACGAGUAGGGCUACACACGUGCUACAAUGGCAGAUACAAAGAGAAGCGACCUCGCGAGAGCAAGCGGAACUCAUAAAGUCUGUCGUAGUCCGGAUUGGAGUCUGCAACUCGACUCCAUGAAGUCGGAAUCGCUAGUAAUCGUAGAUCAGAAUGCUACGGUGAAUACGUUCCCGGGCCUUGUACACACCGCCCGUCACACCAUGGGAGUGGGUUGCAAAAGAAGUAGGUAGCUUAACCUUCGGGAGGGCGCUUACCACUUUGUGAUUCAUGACUGGGGUGAAGUCGUAACAAGGUAACCGUAGGGGAACCUGCGGUUGGAUCACCUCCUUA
rnacentral:rRNA from 1 species